ensembl:snRNA U6 U6 spliceosomal RNA
GUGCUCACUUCGGCAGCAUAUAUACUAAAAUUGGAACAAUACACAGAAGAUUAGCAUGGCCCCCGUGCAAGGAUGCCACGGAAAUUUGUGAAGCGUUCCAUAUUUAA